GAACAGAUCAGACUCUCAAAUCAGGCUUCCAGGUGACUGUGUGAUACUCUUUAUCAUCCUGGGCUGACAGCGUGAGCCCUGCGGGAGGAGGACGCGGCUCUGAACAGACACCAGGUGGCAUCUGGUUUCUCUUCUGUUUGAGGACAUUCUGCAUCCAAAGCCACAAGGUUCGUCACCCCCAGAUGGCUCGAUGCCAUCCUUGCCAUCCUUAACUGAACAGCACCGCCGAGGAACAUCUACGCCACGCAUGCAUAGAGGGCUCCCAGAGGCAGAGUCGGCAGAGGAGCACCGCUGGAAUUUGUGGCUGUUUUUCUCUCCUCUCAGCUGGGGUCGCCACUGAAGUGCCGCUUUAAUCCCAGGCCCAGCGCGGUGGGUUAAGGAUCCAGUGCUGGCGUCGCUGU
rnacentral:lncRNA from 1 species